rnacentral:rRNA from 1 species
GACGAACGCUGGCGGCGUGCUUAACACAUGCAAGUCGAGCGGAAAGGCCCUUCGUUUUACUCGCUCGGCGAACGGGUGAGUAACACGUGAGUAACCUGCCCUAGGCUUUGUGAUAACCCCGGGAAACCGGGGCUAAUACCGUAUAUGCCCUGGUGCUGCUUGGUCUUGUGUGGAAAGUUUUUUCGGCCUGGGUUGGGCUCGCGGCCUAUCAGCUUGUUGGUGGUGUGAUGGCCUACCAAGGCGAUGACGGGUAGCCGGCCUGAGAGGGCGACCGGCCACACUGGGACUGAGACACGGCACAGACGCCUACGGGAGGCAGCAGUGGGGAAGAUUGCACAAUGGGCGGAAGCCUGAUGCAGCGACGCCGGGUGAGGGAUGAAGGCCUUCGGGUUGUAAACAUCUUUCAGAAGGGACGAAGCGUGAGUGACGGUACCUGCAGAAGAAGCGCCGGCCAACUACGUG